CUGGAUGUGGGCCGGCGUCCUGGAGACCGGCCCAACCUUUGUGGUUGCAAGUUCUGCCCUGUGCGAUGUUCAAAAAACGUCCUAGGCGCCAUCUUGUGACGUCAGGUCGCCCCUCAGCCUGACUGCUCGGAAGCGGGGCUAGAUCCGACCAGUUCCGUCCUAACCCGUCGCCAUUAAAGGAGUGUUUCCGCCUCAUCCACAUCUCCACCUCUAUACACAAUAUAAGAUGGAGCUUGUUGCGGCAUACAUUUUCAAUCGCAGACUGUGCAGGGAAAGGAGAUAUUGGGACCCAGUCGACCCACUACAUGUCAGUGAUGAACACCUGUUGCAGGUGUAUAGAUUUCCCCGUCAGGAAAUCAUCAGGCUCUGCGAUGAGCUGCGCCCCCACCUGGAAAGGAGAACCAGGAGGGCACAUGCACUCCCAACACACACCCAGGAGACACUGCGUAUCCUCUGGAGCCAUUCCUGAUGACCCCAGUUGCACGCCUGACAACACCUGGGGAGGAACGAUACAACAAGUCCUCGCAGGACAAGAUGCGUUGUCGAACGGACCUUUGGGAUCCUCAAGUCAAGGUGCAGGUGCCUACAUAAGUCAGGAGGAAGUUUGCAGUAUGACCCCAAGAAGACUAUGAAGAUUGCGACUUCUUGUAUGCUCCUGUACAACUACUGAGUGGAUCGCUGCAGAAGAAGUACCAGUUCAGCCUGUGAGAAACAACAGACAGAUUCCUGGUCAAGUUGUCAGGCAGGA